AUUAAUGAUGGCUCUGUUCUAUUCAAGUGUUCCAGUAAGCCCUGACAGUGUGCCAGUGAGCCAGCAUGCACAAUACCAGGAGCCUGAAACUGAAUGCACUACAUAGAAACCAUUAAUUUUAUUAUUUACACCUGUGUUUCUCCUACUGUGACAUAUCAAAAUGUCCCCUGUGGAAAAGGCCUAUUUGAGUCUAAAAACAUAGAAUUUGGAGAAACCAGGCACUGAACUGGAACACAGUUUGAGACACAGCAGGUGGCAUAAAAGGCAGUUUACUGUGAUCAAGCUUACAUGGUCACAGGAUCAGGAAAACGUUUCAGAAAAUCAGCAGGUAAUCCAGACAGGUACCAAAAACAGGGAACAACAGCAGAUUGGAAACUACUCUCUGUACGUGCUGGAAGCUAAUGAGCAUUUGAGGAGCAGCUGUGUAGAAAGGCAUCCAAUAACAAGAGCAGUCCGGUCAACAGAGGAGGGAAACUCACUGAGGAUAUCUAGUGGACAGAGCGAACCUGUAUGGACAGUGUUGUCAAUGAUGACUUCACCCCACACAAAAUAACAUUGCAGAAACCAGCUUUGAAGCUACACCAGAAUACAGCUGCCACAGCUAGAACCACAGCGAUGACCACCGUGAGGAUGCCUACAGCUAUCCCGAGACCCAUCCUGGAGUCCGAGUCCGAGUCACUGCUGGAUGCAGCUGCUCACAAGACAACCAGAGUACAAAUAUACUAACAUUCAGUGAAGGCAUCAUUGCAUCCCCAUGCACAAAUCAUAAUCUGCACACCAUGAGGCAGAUAAAGCCUUGAGGCAACCACUGGACAACUCAUGGUCACAUUAAUUAUUAAUUAAUUUCACUGUCAUUGAGAUAGUACUUAGAUGGAAUAAAUGAAACAUUUAUAUUCCUCUUGGAAUCUAAAUGUUUAAUCAUCUGGUGAACUAAUAAGAAGUGCAUUACAGGGAAUUAAACAAUACCAUACCUUCCUCCUUAGAUGUCAGUGCUGAUAGAAACAGAUGAAAGGAGAAAAUUAAUUACAAUUAGUAUUUGUGAUGAUUUUUUCUCACUAUGCCACAAACUUACCCUCUGGUCCUCCAUGCAUUCAAAGUGGACAUAGUUAAAGAGUCUGAGGUAUGUGAGUUAUACUGUAAAUUGUUCAUUGUAAAUCCAAUGAUAGACAUUAUUACACAAGCCAAAACCUCUAUGCAGGGUCAUAUGGAUUUUGAAAAUAAUUAACUUGAUUUACAGAAUACAGUACAGAUAAUACAUAAUAUUACACUAUAUAUUUCCCUGUUGUACAUUCUAUAUUAUAGUUCUGAAUAAUGAAGACAGUAUACCCAUAAUAAUGAUGACAGUAUACCCAUAAUUAGGAAAUGUGGAUUAACACUGAACCCCAAAGCUGUAUCUUUAUAUUACAUUUAUAUAAAACAGUUGGGAUGUUAAUGUUUCCCAACAAGCAUUUUUAUGGUCUUUGUAAACCAUGAUAUGCUCACCAUAACCCCGUGAUAAUCAGAACUUCACAUAUUUCAGUGAAAAAAAUCAUGAGCAUUAUAUAGAACCUUAAGUGUUAUACAUUCAAACCAAUACAUAUAUUUAUUUAUAUAUUCCCACUAUUACGUUAUGUAAAAUCACACUCAUGAUGCAUUUUUCAUCUCUGGUGUGAUUAUAAUGUGAUGUUAUGAUAAUGGCUUAUUAUAACAUGGUCAUUAAACCUGAGUAAGCUAUCUCCAGUUAAGCCAUUUAGCAGUUUUCCCUCUGUACCAUGCCACAUCAAUACCUAAGGCAACAAAGUAUUGUACAUUCAGUUUUUAUAAAUGUUGUUAAUUUGCUGAUUGCUCU